UACGUAGGGGGCAAGCGUUGUCCGGAAUCAUUGGGCGUAAAGAGCGUGUAGGCGGCCCGAUAAGUCCGCUGUGAAAGUCCAGGGCUCAACCCUGGGAUGCCGGUGGAUACUGUCGGGCUCGAGUCCGGAAGAGGAGUGUGGAAUUCCUGGUGUAGCGGUGAAAUGCGCAGAUAUCAGGAGGAACACCGGUGGCGAAGGCGGGUCUCUGGGCCGAUAUUGACGCUGAGGAGCGAAAGCGUGGGGGAGCGAACAGG
rnacentral:rRNA from 1 species